rnacentral:lncRNA from 1 species
UACUUGGGACAUGAAUUGUACCGCCAUUUUUAAAGACCUGAAUGUGGUCUCUUUAACGAAUCUGGAAAAACUGCUCUCUCGUAACUGUGCUUUAUUAUUAUUAUUUUUUUUUAAUUUGAUGUGUAUGCUUUGUUUGUGCGACAAAAUAAUGAGAAUUGUUGGCAAACGAAAGUUUUCGCUGUUGACCUUGGGCAUGAGUUUUGAGUAUGUAUAAUAAAGUUGAGGCCUCGAUUUGAGCCUGAGGUUUGUACUUUGUAGCCUCAGUAGUGAGUAGGUGUCAGUGUAAAGCGCAAGAUCAAGAUGUUAGGCCAAGCUAACUCCCUCUACUGGGCCUCUAGGCUGUAAAAUGAAAAAGGCAAUGAUAGCAGAUGCUUACCAUCAUGAGUGGCUCAGAUUAUGCUUUUUGAUGUGCCCAGAACUCUUGAUCAUGUGAAAGUAAUCAUUGUGUGACUAUUCUUUGCCUCGAUGAGCAUGAAUUUGUUGUUUCAGCAAGCAAUGUACUGCUGAACACUCAACUGCAUACAUCAGUGCCCCCAGUUAUGAGAAACUCAACUACUGAACUACGACAUACGUCUUCAGGCCAACUAGCAUCCAAGGUGAUUUCGUAAGUGGUCAUUAAGAAUUGUGUUUGGCUAUAUAGAGAAUUAUCACGUUAUUCCGGCUCUACCCUGGGCUUGAUAAUCUUUGCAAUUUUAAAAUCUAGAUCUGCCAAAUAUAUAUUUGUAGUCAUAUUUUCCCUGAUACCGGUAAUUACAAUGAAAAAUAAUGAUGCUUAUCAAUUCUAACAAUGAAUGGCUCGUCUACACCUUGAUUUUCAUGGAAUAUACGUAGAACACCCAUUCGGCUCUCGCCUAAGUAUGAAAAAACGAUUUACUCAUUUUAUAUUGAAUAUCUAAUGCCAAUUUAAAUUGCAAAUUUUAAUUUUCAUUCCAAUCUUUGCUUCUCACUUUUGCAAAGCCUUACUAUGCUCUUCCUAAAAAUAAAUGCUCAGCUGCAAGUAAUAUCAUGACACUCUCGAAUUCUCAUGGAUAAGCUCUCGAACGCAUACUAUGUACGGUUUCAGGCGUCUGACGCGCUCACGAAACAACUUUGACAAACAUUUAUUAAAUGUAAACUGACUUCAUUGUUGAUCGACCAGAGUUGUUUAGUACAUGUAUGAUCGAUCAUACACAUGUUGACUUGCGUAUGAUCUAAGUCGGAUUUUUUUUGCUGAAGAAAUGUAUUCAUGCAUAACGUUUUAAUAAAGUUUUUCUUUUAAG